ACGGGCACAUGUUUCCUCUGUUUGUAACAGAACAACUCGACUCUUGGCCCAAGAGAGAGAUUCAUGAAAGAAAUUGGGUAUGCAAUAAUUCAUUCUAUUUGAAUUUUGUCGAAAUAUAAUCACAUUCCUCCGUUUGCAUUGAUAUUUUUAGAGAGUCCGAGCAACAUAGAAUUCCAGUACUUCUUUUAGUAGUACUCAAUGUUGGUUGGAAAUAACUAGCGCCAUAUAUAAAUACCUUCCCUGGAACAAUCAGCAGCGAAGCCUCAUAGACCAAAGGUUGGUUAGAUAAACAUCCUUCGAUUUAACCCAAAUAAUGCACAUCUCUAAACUUGAUAUUUAAGUGAGAAGAGUAGGAGAUGGACUCAUUAUCCUUUAAGUUCCAAGGUUGCAACAAAUCUAUCGAUAAAAAAAAAACUAAGGAACUAAUAAAGGUUGUACCUAUAUAUCAUUUAAGACUACAAAUGUAGAAAAAUUAAGGGGUCUUUUUCUUUGGCAGGAAAGAGAGAGGGAUAACCAUAAUGAUUGCGGUAGAGUCAUAAUUAUUCCUUCAUUCUUAACUAACAUUUUUGAUUCGAGCCUUGGAUAUUGAGUAGCCUUUGUUAAGAAGUGUUUUACUCUCAAUAUGAGACUUUAAUUUCUAUGCGAAUCUGAAUUAAGUCAUGCUCCUAUGCAAGCGCAGGAUACCGAGUAGAAUUAACUCACAAUAAUUUGAUUCAAUGGAGAUAUUUUCUAAGGUAGAAGUCUUUCUUUGCAGCUUCUUCCACUUAUAUUUUGAGCUGUCCUUUGUAUUCAUAUUACUGUGGACCCAUAGCAAUAAUUCAAUUCAAUUGGAGCAGACCCCAUCUUCCUGGAAACCUUUCAAAUUUCUCAUCGAAAAUAGAUUGAAUUUCUUAUAAAAAUAAUCUAAAUAAAACGAAUUGUGGUCCUUGUUUAUUUGAAAUGGUAAGACAGCAUCGUAGCAAUUUCUUUGUGACAGACAAAGCACUACGAAGACUAGACUUCAUUGCAUUUGAAGAUAAAUAACUAGUCAAAUGCAAUAAAAUGUAGGAAAUAUCUUGGAAACUCCAAUGUAAUAUGCACAUCAAUGGACCACUAAAAGUACAAGCAAAUAAAGGUAUAAAGAAAAAAGAAGGGCAAUUGCUUUGUCACCGACAACAUGACUUGACUUCAUCCAUUCAUUUUGAUCCAAUAGUAGGAAAACUACCUAAUAGAUUCACAAAAGAACUUGGGUAUGCAAUAAUCAAAGAAACAAAGAAAUAUUUUUGAAACUUGAUUUAAAAUAAUUUCAUUAAGGAGAAAAUAAACAUUUUAAAAUUAUUUUUUUAUUAAAUAUAGAAAUUUGUGUCAUUUUUCUUAGACAGACUAAAAAGGAAUACAUAUAAAUUUACAAGAGAGUACUUAAUUUUACAUUUUUUUCCAAGAUAAUAACCAAUCAAAAGCAGGGAUAUGGUCCAUUUUUUCUUAGAGUGAGUCCAUAACCAUAAACGAAAAGAAUUACUCCCUCUGUCCCAAUUUAUGUAGCACUUUUUGUUUUACGAGAGUCAAACAGUUUAAAUUUGACCGGGAAUUUGCACAUGAAAUCUUCAAUUUUUUUGAAAUGAAAUUUAUAUAUUUGUAAACUACGUAAAAAGUCUAUAAGUCACAACAAUUGAUAAUUCAAAAUGUUUAAAAGAUCUAUGAAAAAUUUACGGUCAAAAUUAGACUUGUUUUAAUCUCGAAAUCCAAAAAGUGCCACAUAAAAUGGGACGGAGGGAGUACUAGUUAAUUUCAAUAUUAAACCUAGUAUUUUUUUUGACAAAACCUAGUAAUUUUGACUCUCAACUUAAUUUUUUGAUUUAUUAUUUUUAAAAAAUCUAAAUCCAAAAAAAAAAAAAAAAAAAAACUUAAAAAUUCUCCAUUGUUAGGUAUAAUGAUAAUAACCCUUCCAUUUUUAACCAACUAUUUAGGGUUCGAGCCUUGAAUAUUGAGUAACCUUUGUUAUAGAGUGUUUUACCCUCUAUGUGAGACUUCUCGGCACAAAUCUGAAUCAAGUCAGGCCCCUAUGCGGGUACAAGAUAUCAAAUAGAAUGGUAGAAUUAACUCGCAAUAAUUCAAUUCAACUGAGAUAUUUUCCAAAGUAUAGUCUUUCUUUGCAGCCUCCAUUGUGUUCAUAUUACUGUGGACCACAUAGCAAUAAUUCAAUACAAUUGGAGUAGACCCCAUCUUCCUGGAAACUUUUCAUAUUGUUAUGUAAUUCAUAUUACUGUGGACCACAUAGCAAAAAUUGCGUUCUCUCUCUCUCUUGUUAUGUAAUUCUCUCCUUCUGUUUGCAACAAAGUCUUCUUUCAUAACCAAUAAAAAAAAAUUCCGUUCUUCUUUCUCCUAUACCAAAUUAAUCCUCCAUCUUGUCUCCGUUUGUGCUGAGCCAUCAUUAACCAUGGUGAGUUAAAGGAUGUGAACAAGUUUUAAUUUUUUAAGCUUUGCAUGUUGAAUAUAAAAUGGUAAGUAAAUAAGAGAUCUAAUAAUUGCACCUUUAUUGAUCCUCAAGUAAAGCAACCCUUUGGAAAUUAUUAUUCAUUCUAUGGAGAUUAUGUGAGAGAAUUAAAUUUCUAAGUUCCAAGAUACGAAUAUACAAAUCGCGUCUUUCUGCAGAUGUAUAUUCAACCGAUAUCAAGAUUUUACCGUGUUAUAAUUAAGUUCACAGAGAAAAGGCAAAGUGUAUUUCCCAAAGGUAGCAACUGAUCCACGGCUUUAAAACUUGCUACUAGUUUAUUUUCAUGCUCUUUUUGAUCGUUAUAUUUGGGGAAAUCUCUGCUUUAAAAACAAAAAAAAAAACUUUAUGGCAGACGACGGGUCAGUACUUUUAAUACUUCUGCAUCAAACAUUUUCAUGUCGAGAAAUACACUUUUGUAAGUAUUGCUCUCUCAGAUUGUUAUAUUAGCACAAAAUCUCUGUUUUAAAUACGUCUUUAUGCAGAUGUAUAUUCAACGGAUAUUAAAGAGGCAGCAUGACUUGAGAGAGUGAGGGAAUUGCAGAUGAGCAUUGGAACUAUUAGUAAGUCGCCUCACAUCACAAAGCUAACGGAGCCAAAGGGAACUAUUUCCAGGAAUCAAACGUAUUCCACUGGAGUCGGAAUUGUGUGAAUUAGAAUCAGAGUUGUCAAAAGAGAUGAACAUACCUAUCUUUUGCUAUCAGAUACAUUGAAUUUUCUCUUCUUUUUUUAAUAAUUCAUUUUGCUGGCAAAAGGAACUAAAUCACAUAUUUUUUUAGCAAAUUUACGCUAGACAGAAUAUGUAGAAGUCUUGCCUCAGAUAAAAUUUUAACUUGAAACAUCAUAUCGAUUUUAUUGAUAUCCAUUAAAACUCACCUUAGGAUCAAAACAUUUGUCAGCAGAAAAUAAAUUAAAUUAAUAAGAAUAAUCUAAAUAGAACGACAUAAAAUGAAACUCUACCUAACAAGUUGUGGGCCUUGUUUAUUUGAAACUGUAAGGUAAUGUCCAAGCAAUUUCUUUGUGACUGACCAAACAAAGAGAGUAGACUUUAUUGUAUUGAAGAUAAAUAAUCGGUCAAAAAAGCAUAUUUUAAUAAAUAUGUACAUUAGUAGAAGUACUUGUGGAGCAAUAAAAUUCGUAGCGGAGUUAUGAGUUUAGCGAAGUGUGUGUAAAUAUUUUUCUUAGUUAUGUUAAGGGUGUAAAAAAUUAAAUAUACACCUGUAAUAAUGGAGUAAUAUUUAAUCUCGUAUAUACCACAUAAUUUUCUAGCGAUAAGUGUGCACUAAACCACCCUUCACCUAAAGUGGCUCCGCCCAUUACAGUAAUUCCAUUUAACUUCUCCUAAAAUUUUAUUUCUUCUCAUUUGGGAUAUUCUUUUUUCUUUGAAGCUUCAGCCGCUUGUACUUUUAGCUGUCCAUUUUGUAGUCCAGAGCAUAAAGGGCAAGUUUUUUUUUUUUUUGCCAAAAUUCCAAAAGGGACAAUAAAAAAAAUUAAAGAGCAAAGGGAUAAAGGCACAUGAUCCCCACACCAUAACCCAAAUUUUUUAACGCGGUUAACAAUGUAAAAAGAAAGCCAUGCGUAUGGAUCUCACACCUAAUGGCGGAGCCGGAAAUUUUAUUAAGGAUGUCCAAAAAUAAUGGUGUGUGGCAGUCAAAAUAAAAUAAAAAAAAUAUUGUGCUAUUUGGGUUCAAACCCGAAACUCCAUCAUUCAAUUGGACACCAAUUACCACUGCGCCAAAGACAUAACUUUUAUCAAGAGUGUCCAACUUUAAAUAUAUAUCUUUUAAAUGUAGAAUUUAACAUAUAAAUACAAUGUAAUUUUUCGAAGAAGUAUGCACUUUUGUCGACAUGUUGUAUUGAAAUGCGUACCAUAACAAAAGGCUUGGGGGUUGUAUAUAUGUGUAUAUUUACUUUACUAAACACACCCCACAUGUAUUUAACUCCAUUUAUUAUUGAGGCUGGUUAACAAAUAAAAACAAAAUAUUAAACAAAAUAAUUAUAACCUUAAUUUCAGAAUUGAAUACAUAGAAACAUACCUAAUAUUAUUUGUAAUUUUUUGUUGAUUUUAGAAUGAUAAGGGAUUUUUUAGUUGAAGAAAUAAAAAAUAACCACAAUAAUCAUAUAUGUAUAUAUAAAGACUAGAAUCAAGAGCGAAAAACAUACUUGUGCAAGAUUUGAGAGAUGGGGAGAGUUUUUUUCCUUCAACAAAAAAAUAUGCUCAAAUUUUGGGGGGAAAAGUAAGAGAGGUUCAAGAUGAUUUCAACAAAGAAGAAGAUAAAAGGAUUUUUAGAAUUGAAAAUAAUAGGGAUUAGUGCCUUUUUAGUUGAGGUUUUUUUUAAAAAAAAAAAACUAAAAACAAAAAGGACAAAAGUUGUUGACUAUUGGACUUUAAAUGUAAAAGUAAAAAGUUGUUCUACUUUUUAUAGUUCCUAAGUAACUAAAAGGACAAAAGUUACUUGGGACAAAAUUGUGUGUGAAAAAACGAAUUAAAACUGAAAUGCGGCUAUAGGGAUUCGAUCCCGGGUUGGCUGGGAAAAUUGAACCCCCUCAGCCACUCGGCCAAGCUUCAACUUGUGUUAGUGGGUUCAAAAUUUAAUAUAUACAUAUAAAAUUUUAAAAACUGAUUAAAUAUACAUAUAUAUACAGUGUUAUUUUUCAACGAAGUGGGUUCAUAUGAACCCACUUGAACCACUGUAGGUCCGCCCCUGUAUAUAUGUGUAUAUUUACUCUACUAAAUACACCCCAAAUGUAUUUAACUCCAUUUAUUAUUGAGGCUGGAGUUGGGUGACCUUUUCCCAAUUUUUGUUGGAAUUCGUCAACUUCAUGCACAAUUGUUAGCACUCCACUUUAAUCCAUGUCACAAUCAAAUAUAAAUGUGUGGAAGGCGUGAAGAAAUUUCCUACUACUUACUAUGGGUGAGUAAUAUUCAAUGUAAAUGUACUAGUUGACUACUGGGAGGUGAAGAUACUCGUAAAACAAUUACAAGUUUUUUGUAUGAACUUUAAAAAUAAUCACCUUUUAGAUACAUAUGUGUCACACUUGAAUAUACAGUGUAUUUGAAACAGAUUACACCAAAUUUGACGUGCAUAUAUUUAAGAUACAUGUAUCUGAGUGCCCAGUUGAUUGUAUCUGACGAAGUAAAAAUAUGAUACGAAAGAUAAUUUCAGAAACUAAAAUAAAAAUACGUAAUUAGACUCUAAGCUAGUGGGAUUUGUAUUGUUUGGUCGUAAUAGUAAUAUGGUUCAAUUUUUCUUUGUGCAGAUGAAUAGUGGGUCCAUAACCAUAAAUGAUCUAUCGAGAAGCAAUAGAAAUUAGUAGAAAAAUAAUAUGUAUGGCUAAAACUUUCAUAAUAAUUAAUGCAAGACAUAAAGAAAUUUCCUAUUAAUAUUAUUAGUUGACUGGAAUGUUUAUUUCUUCUUUCCUCUAUAUAAUUAAUUUGUUCAUCAAUUGAUCGCAUCCGAUCCAUACACUUCACUUUUUCUUUUCAAACAAUUAAUUGAAUCUAUGGCAUCUUCUUCUGUGAGUAAUUCACAGAACUGUCCUCGAUGUAAAUAUUUUUCUUAGUUAUAUUAAGGGUGUAAAAAAUUAAAUUUACACUUGUAAUAACAGAAUAAUAUUUAAUUUUUAAUUUAGAUAUACCACAUAAUUUUCUAGUGAUGUGUGUGCACCAAACCACCCUUCACCUAAAAUGGCUCCACCCAUUACAAUAAUUUCAUUUAACUUCUCCUAAAAUUUUGUUUCUUCUCAUUUGGGAUACUCUUUUUCUUUGAAACUUCAUCCGCUUGUACUUUUAGCUGUCCAUUUUGUAGUCCAAAGCCUAAAGGACAAGUUUUUUUUGUUUUUUUUUUUUUGCCAAAAUUCCAAAAGGACAACAAAAAAAUUAAAGAGCAAAGGGGUAAAGGUACAUGAUCCCCACACCUUCGAACAUUUUUAACGCGGUUAACAUAUAACGUGUGAGGCCACGCCUUGUAAGGCGCAUGGCUCUCACACCUUCCUCCUAAGUGGAGCCCUCCCCUCACAAUCCCCUGUUGACACCCAAUUUUGGACCUCCACAAUAUAAAUUAAUAAUUUCGAGCUUCUUCAAUCUCAAACGAUUUAAAAUAAUUAGUUUUAUAAAAAUUCAAAAAAAAAAAUCAAGUUAUUUUAAAUAGUUUUGUCACUUUUUAUAAUUUUUAGAUAAUAUAUAUGUUUUAUCUAAUUAUGUAUAUAAUUAGUAUAUUUUAUGAAUAUUCAAAAAUUGUCUCAAAAGAUUUUAGUUUUACUUAAAUAGUUGGUUAAUUGGUUUAGUUAAUUAAUACUUAUAUUCUUGAGUUAUUAGUUUAUAGAUUAGUAAGUUAUUUUAUUUCGUUGAAACUAAGAAGCUCGUUAAUUAAUCAAUAUUAAUUCAUCAUAAUUAAAUUUUAGUCAAAUUCCCUAAGUUAAACUCAAUAUGGCUAACUUCUUAAUUUCCAUUGGCCAUAAUUGCAAUUCAUGUGGCCAUUUCCUAUUUUCAAAUCCAACUAUCUUUUUAUCCCACUUCUUGGACCAUUUUUCAGCCCAUUCCCAAUCCUUUUCAGCAACCUUCCAGCCGGCCCAAAUCCCCAUUAGCAGCCCACCAACUCAAUUCCAGAAACCCAUUCCAGCAAAUACAUACAGCAUACCAAAACAACCCAUUCUCCAUACAUAAACCCAUUUCAAUACCCACACCAACAAUACAAACGGGUACCAAAUACCAGACCCCUGUAUGCAUUUUUCUUCUUCUUCCGCGUCCACCGAAACCCAGAAAUCCCACCAAAGCCGGCGAGAAAUCAGCGUGAAAUGCAGACUCGUCACAUCAAUCGCAUCUCCAAGCAGCGCCAACAGUGCUCGCCCAUACUCUUCGUCUUCCUUUUCUGCUUCAACAGUAUGAUUUGUUCAAAAAGCAGUGCCAGAUGGAGUAAUCUCGGCGCUUCACUCAUCCUGGCAUCAAGAUCAGCGGAUACAAUUCUCAAUCCGUUGAGAAUUGGUACUAUUCUAGUUGUUUCCGUCUUCCAAGAUUUGGAAUUUCAAAAUUUGAAAUUUAUCCAAUCCACCGAGUUUCCCCACUAAAUCGUCCAUUUGUUUUCCUAUAAAGAGUUCUAUACCUUCAGUGAUUAGGGGACAGAGGUUAAGAAAUUGGGAUUUUGAGGUCAUAUAGGAAAAUAGCUUACAAAAGAACGACUCUCGGAUUUGCUUAGCUCGCUUUUAUAUUCGAAGUUUGUGGUAAAAGAAUCGCCCUUUCAGGCUCGUUGUUAUCCUAGUUUCGCUGCACUUCGAAAGGUAAAUGUUAUUUCGGUUCAUGUCUUUUAUUUUCUGAUGUGUUGAUAUGUUGGAUUCUUGGCCGUGUGAAGCAUUUAAAUGUUAAAAUUUUCAGAUUGUUUUUUUUUUUAAAACUUAUUUCGGCUGCAAACCAGUGGCAAAGCUUUGCCUAUCUUGAAUGUUGAUUGUUUGGUUGUUCGCUUGAAUUCUUGAUGAGUCCGUUCGGUCUCGAGUUCAUCCCUCCCCAUGUCUGUUUUGGACUCUCUUUUCUUUUUGUCUUGGAUCUUAUUGAUUCUGACUCUCACAUAUUCGUAUUGAUUUCAUUUUCAAGAGGUUAUCUUGUUAAGCUUAGUUUCGAAAUUUCGGAUCGAUCAUAAUCGCUUGCCAUUGUAAUUAGUUUCAACUUGUUAGGAUUAUCAAAACUACAUGUGCCUGAACUUUACUUGAACUAUGUAUUUGAUUUGUCUUCAAGAAUGUGCAAUUUUAUAAAAAAUAAAUAAAUUUACGUCUACUCUUUUGUCCCUUUGCGUUAUUAGGAACCUGCAAAUGACCAUUUGUUUUAUUUUUCAUGUGUACAUGUAUGUGUCUUGAAUUUUCUCUAGGCUUAGACUUUUGAUAGUUUAGUGUUAGAAAUUUAUUUUUUCUAUCCUAAUUCUAAAGUCCUCCAUGCUUAGUUUCUUAAGUAAGGUUAACAUUAAAAUGGACCAUAAUUGUUUGGUUGAUACAUAGUUAUUCAUCUCUUUUAUUUUGGCCAUGGAUGAAUUGAUCAAUAGUGACUUUGUUCAAUUAUAUAUGCAAGCAUGUGGUUAAUAUUUCCUCAAAUGAAAAAUGUUCUUUCAUUUCUUGAAUAUCAUCAUUGUUUAUUGUUGAUACAUUAGAAGUGCUUAUUACCCAUCAAGUUGCAAAGUAUUUGAAUCCUUGUUUUUCCACUAAAAUUAGGAUUAGUCUUUCUUUUUCUUUUAUCAUAAGUGAUCCUAUUUACAAUGUGAAUUUAAUCGUUGUAUAUGUGAUUGGUUAAGUCACAUGUUUGUCCCUUUAAAUUGGUAUGUUAGAUAAAGAAAUCACUAUUAUCGUUCCUAUUUGUGAUGCACAUGAUUUUCAUUUUUCAUCUUUAAAAUCUCGAUAGGUUGCGAACAUAUAAGUAUUAGUUCAGUGUUGCAAUGAGUUGGGCCCCUUUUCCUUUUUUUUUUAAAUUUUUUUCUCUUUGAUUCCAUAUGUAAAUGAUGAAGUUUGGGGUGGAUGUUUUGAGUUCACUAUCGCAUGUCAAUUUACUCAUCCUUGCUUCAAUUCUCCUUUAAUUACAAGUUGGAUUGCCCAUUAAUUUAGAAGCCUUCCUGGUAGUUUGUUGAUUUCUUAAAGAUGAAUUGUGAAUAUUAAGAGUCAUAUCUAGCUAGAUACACUAAAUGAUAGUUUCACACCAUAGAUACACUAAAUGAUUGCAAUUUUAUUUAGCAAUCAAUUCAUUUAGUUCACUGUUGACUUUUAUGUACAUCAUUUAGUUAAUAUUAUAUUAUAUAUUCAUCUAGUUAAGAAGCUUUCUAUAUGGCCUAAUUUUACUUUAAUAAAAUUUAGGAUUAGUAUAGUUCUUUAUCUUUAGAUGUAUGUUGAAUAUGUAAUCUCUAUCGGUUGAUGUUCAAGUUCAUUGUGGUGCUUUAUUGAUUUUGUUUUAUUUUAUUUUAUUUUCUCUCUGAUCAUUUGAAAAAUAUUGCAUUAGUAUAUAGUGGACAUUUGAGGAGGACUAUUUUGUCAACAAUAUUAAUGCUCUUAUUCAUUCUGUUAAACCUUGUUGCUACCUUUCUUUAGGCCUUGCUCCUUAUUAAGAUAGUGUUGUAGGUUCAAAUUCUUAAAAUUGGUAUAUCCAUGUUGGUUAGUCUAUUUUACAUUAAUUAGAUUAAGCAUGAAUUUUGGCAUAGCAAUAGAUUCAAAAUGAGUUGAUGAAGCUUGGCAUGUGGCUUUGAUAGGGCACCACCAUGCGACUUAGAUUUAUUAAAGGAUGUGUUGUGCGAAUACUCGUUUUCAAUAAAUGUAGUAAAUUUCUUUAAAUUAGUUUGCUUGUUUAGUCAAAUGAUAUCCUGUUUGGUCUUGUAUCUUAGAUAUUUACCUUCUUACAUCCCAUUGAUUGCACAUUUAAUUAUUGUUUAUGACAAUUCUAAUUUCUUAUCAUCCUUUUUAUUGCAUGUGAAAUAUGUCCGAGCCCUCAUGGGCUUCCACCCUCUCGUUGCAUUCGAUGAUUGGGCCAUAGGGGCCCGAUUUUUCUUUUCUUUAAGUCAGCCGGGUCAUCUGAAUAGGGCUGUACAGGGGCUGGAAAUUGAAAACAAGUCUCAGAAAGCUGAAAAAAGGCUGAGAUACAGCUUGUAUACAUUGAUAUAUAUCGGUAUACACUCAUAUACAGGUCGAAAAAUGUGAAAAUACAUGUCUGAGGCGAAAUAUAGGCAUUCGGAAGCAAGAGAUACAUGAAAAAAGCAAAUAUGUAUGCUCAUAUACACUGAUAUACAUCAGCUGUAUACCAAAAACGGGUUUGGUUAAACCCCAAAAAAUACCAACGAAAUUGGCCCAAAAGGGGGCCCGAAUUCAAUUUCUCCCUUACUCUUUAAUUACCUAAUUGUGAUUAUUUAUUGUUUGUUGUUUAACUCUAACUUUAUAAUUGUAAAUUAACUUAGUUGAAUUCCCCAAAAGACGAACUAUUUCUCUGUGUUGUUGUAUUUCUAACAAAUCUCAUUUUAUCAACUCUUGUAUUUUCAUUUAUAAUCUUUAGUCAAAACUUUUUUUAUUAUUAUUAUUUUUAUUAGUUUAAAAUAGUUUUUCCAUAAACCGAAAAAUGACUCAAAUAAAAGACAACUAAUUUAGUUUCGUUAAAAUUUUAAUUACUUGUCUCUAAUUCACAUAUUUCAAUUAAGGUCCCAUUUGCUUAAAAAAUAAAAAUUGCUCUUUGUUUAACUACUUUCUCAAAGUUAAUCUAGCAGUGUAAAUUAUUAUUAUAAAUACUUACUUAGUCAUUUCUCAAAAAUGUUAGUCAAAAUAUUUUUUCUUCAAUUAAUUUAAAAUGAUUUUCAUGCUUUAAUUAUUAAAUUGGCUUAAAUUAUUUAUUUUAAAGUGAAUUAAAUAAAUUAUAAUUAGUCUAGUUUUAUUAAUAUUCUAAUCAUUUGUAUUUCGACUCAAAUGUUUUAUUUUGGAUACCUUUCUCUAAAAAAUAAAAAUGAAAUAAAAGUGUGUCAUUUAUUUAACUAUUUUUUUUCAAAGUUAACAAAAUAUUGUAAAUUAUUAUUCUUAUGUUAAAUCACAUUUUCCUAAAAAAUAGUCAAAAAUAUUUUAGUCAAGUCACAGGUCAACCGCAUGUUAGCGGACACUUCGAAUGCUUAAACCCUUCUCGAAGUGUAAAUUGAACCCCGAAUCCUCUUUGCUAUUUUCAAAUGAUUUUUUCUGUUUAAAUCUUUGAAAAUUAUAAGUUUUCUUAAUUUCUUUAAAAAAUUAAGUGGCGACUCUUUCUAAGUAUUUUUCUUUUAGUGUUUUACACUUAGAACAUUUCAAAAAAGUACAUUUUUCUAGAAAUAGUUAAAUUACGGCACAACACCCCCCGCCCCCUCCCCAUACUCCCUUUAUUUCUUUUUAGUUGUCAGUAUUUUUCGAGAGUUAAUUUGACUAAUUUUAACAAUUAAAUUAAAUUAUAUUAAUUUGAUAUUUGAAUUAACUAAUUUUAAAAAUUAAAUUAAAUUAAUUUGAUAUUUAAAAAUAAAAAUUUAGAUAUUCAAACCACUAUAAAAAAAAAAUUGUAUCAAAACUUUUUGUUGGAAUUCGUCAAAUUCAUGCACUCGUCAGCACUUAAAUCCAUGUCACAAUCAAAUGUGGAAGGCGUGAAGAAAUUUCCUACUACUUACUAUGGACGACUAAUAUUCAAUGUAAAUGUACUAGUUGACUAGUGGGAUGUGAAGAUACUUGUAAAACAAUUACUAGUUACUUGUACAAACUUUUGACAAGGAGGAGAAUAAUCACCUUUUAAAUUGAUAAAAGGUUAAAGCAUGGCGAUACGAUCCUAGAAGAACUCUUGAAAGCUUUCAAAUACUCUCAAGUUGCCCUCGUUAUUUCCCUUAAAUAAAAGGAAAGAUAUACGUUCUUUUCUAAGCGGACUGAAAAAUAAAAAAAUAAAACAAUCAAAUUGAAAUAAAAUGAGUAUUUUCUAUUUCCAUCUAGAGGUGACAAAUUUCUUUGUUUGAUACAAAACAACUAGAUUCUUGGCUUGAGAAAUAGAUUCGAAAAGAAGUUGGGUACACAUUAAUCCAAUCUUCUUGAACCUACAGAUAUCUAUAUAACUCUUGUUUUAAUAGAAGUGAUGUGACACCUCUUUUGGAACCAAUGUAGCUCAAGUGGUCGAGCAACUAUUGAUAUAGGGGUGUAUAUCGUUUGUUUUUCUGUCAUUCUUUCUGGGAUUGGUUAAAAAGGAAAGUGAAUCAUAUAAAUUGAAACAGAGAAAUUAGUUAAUUACAAUUUUUUCCAAAUAAUCUAUCUAUAUAUAAUAGGAGAGGAAAAAACGCAUACGUGUCAACACCACAAAAUUUAUAGAUAUAUUAAAUAAAAAACAAUUUAAAAAACAAAACAGUUCAAAAAUAAAACAUAAAUUAAAAACAGUUUUUAAAAUUUGUUUACGUUAACUACACCAAUUCUAACAAACUAAUUGUAUAACUUCCUGCGUUAUUCAAAAAGAAAAAAAUAUAUACUAGGACAAAAUCCAACUUUUACCACUUGGAAAUUUUAAAGAGUUAAAUUAAAUUUAAAGUUAUUUUUUUAAAAAAAGAAGAUAAUAUCAAAAAAAUAAGAAUUUUUAAUAUAUAUAUAUAUAUAUAUAUAUAUAUGAGAGGUGAUAGCGCUUACGUGUCAGCACCACAAUUAAUCUCUACUUUUUAACUUUUAAAUUAUCAAUUAAUUCAAUAUAAUUAAUUUGUUUUUUAAUAAAGAAAAUAAGUUACUAUUUUAGAAGAUAAGUUAGAGUUUUUCACUUAAUAAAAAUUGUUUGUUCUUUUUUUAAAAAAAACGUGUUAUUCUUGAAUUUUGAGUUUGAAAAAAAAUAAUUAAAUUGAUUAAUAAAAAUUAUCUAUUUAAUAAAUAACAAUAAUAAUAAUAAUAAUGGUAUAAUUUUUUUAAAAAAAACAUCCAACUGAAUAGUCUAUUUUAUAAUAAUAAUUUGAAUUUAUAAUUAAAUUAACUAAACUAAUUUAAAAUCCGAAAAUAAAAGAAAAAUGAAAAAUUACAAACGAAAAAGGAAAAAAAAUUGAAAACACGAUUUUGAGUUUUUUUUUUUUUAAAAAAAAGUCUAACUUCCCACGUUUUCUAAAAAUAAAAAAAAUACAUAUUAUGGACAAAAUCAAAAUUUUACAACUUCUCAAUUUUAAAUAAUUAAACUUAAAUUUAUAAUUAAAUUAGCUAAAUUAAUUUAAAAUCUUAUUUAGAAUAAAAUUAGUGGGAUCAGUUUAAACUUUAGAUAAAUAUUGUUAUCUUUUAAAUUUUGAGUUACAAAAAGGGCAGUAGUGUAAAGGUAACUAAUUAAAAUUAGAUAAUUAAUUUGAAAAUAAAUAACAGUUAUGUGGUUUGAAUUUUGAAAAUUCCACUAAAUCUAUAACUGUUAUGUGGUUUGAAUUAUGAAUUUGAUUUUAACUUCAUUAAAAAGAUAAUAUAUUUAUGACAGUUUUAAUAAGGCAGUUUUAAUAGUGAUUUAUGAUCGUUUUAUUAUAAAUUUUAAAUGCUUAUAAAAUCAAAAAAGAUAGAGCAGCGUUGGAAACCACCACUCCUCCUACUUCCCCUGUUCCCCAUUCUCUUCUCUCACUUUCAUUUUUUUCUCACGGAUUUUUUUUUUUUGCUUUUUAUUUUGUGGUGAUUGGUUGAAUUUUUAUGUAAUUAUCAUCCAAAUAAUUGUUCAUAUAGCAUAAUUGAUCAUUAUUUCUUAUUGAAUUAUUUGUAGAUAGUGUUAUUUCUAUGUGAAGAUAAAAUUUCAAUUCUUAUUUUUAUUCAUUAAUUUAAUUUGUAUUUUAUUUUAUUGUUAAGUUCAAGAAUUUGUGAUUACUGAUUAGUUUUGCAUCAAUUUUAUCUGAUAUCUCCGAAGGGAUGAUUUAGUUUUAUAUCAGUACUGACCAUUUGAAUUUUGGAUGGUUGUUUCCACAUAAAAUACACAAAAAUGAAUGGUUAAUCUCAAAAUCAAGUGCUUAGCCGAUAAUUCUUCAUAAUGAUGAAGAUCUUCUCAAUUCCGGCAUUGGCUUUUCUUUUCGAUUGUGAUGGUAAAUGCAAAUUCAUUUCCUAUUACUCAUUUUCAUAUAUCAGGUAAAGAAGUGAUCAUGUACAAAUUUCUCUAUUAAACAAUUGUACCAUUUUAAAAAUAUAUAUAUUCUCACGUUUAAAAAAAAUACAUAUAUAACUACCCCAAUAAUGUUCUGCUAAAGUUUAGGAAUAACACAUUUAUGUUUAUAUUUAAAUAAAUUUUAAAAAACAAAUCAAUUUAGCCUAUUGUUUUGUAAAUUAUAUUACGAUAAAAUAUCUGGUAGAUAAUUGCAUGUACAAGUAAUGAUGCUAUAAUUUAGGUUUUUAAAAUAUAUUGAGUUGAAUACUUUUAUUCAACAACGUUAUCUACUUAGCACUCUCAUUAAGCAAAAAUAUUAGUAUUAUAAUGGUAAUGAUGAAUUCAAAGAAAAGAAAUGACAUCGCAAUUGAUUAUUCCCUCCCCAUGAUAACAAUAAUUAUAAAAAUAUAUUUCCGAAAAUUUUGAUACAAUUAUAUGUUUUUUUGAAAUAUAAUAUAAUUGAUAUAUGAUUUUAUGAAAAAUUGACAAACAAACUUUAAAAAUUUGAAUAGCAUGCCUAUAAUUUGAUAGUCAAGUGACUAAAAUUUCUUAGUUUUAUGUUUAGCAUUAUCAUAAUCGUAGAUCUUUACUGUCAUUAGUGUUGUUAAGUAAUACAAUGAUCGGAAUAAUCUAAUGCCUUCAUCAAAAAAUUUAACUUCUUUAGCAUUAUCCAUGAGAAAAUACCACUUGCAAUUUUGAUAAUAUUAAAAACAUCUCUAUUCGUACUUUGGGACAAAUUUAAAAUCAUAAUUUAGUAUUAAGUAAGAUAUUAAUACGUUAACAUACAAAAAUAUAAAACUUAUAAAAUAUCUUAGUGCAAAAAAUGUUCAAAAGAAUACAAAUAAUUUGCAAAUGUUUUUACUUUGAAUUCAAGUAAAAAAAAACAAUAAAGAGUGUCAAUAAUAACAAUAAACUUAUAAUAUUUAAAAUAUUAUUAAAAUUAAAUAAUAUUUUAUAAUGAAAAUAUAUAUAUUUAUUUGUAUUAUAUAAAUAGAAGAUUAACGAAAAAGAAUAUUAAGGCAAGUGAUAAGUUAAUCAAAAUUUAGUCGAUAAUGUUAUGAUUUUAAGUAGUUAAUAAUAAUGUAGUAACGAACAAACGCAAAGUAUAUUGUACAAGUUAUUAAAUGAUCAUGUGAUUUGUUCUUUCAUUUCAUAUAUAUAUAUAUAUAUAUAUAUAUAAUACUAAUACUAAUAAUAAUAAUAAUUUUUUAUAUUAUCCGCGCAACGCGCGGGAACGUAUACUAGUAAUCAAUUAAAAGCAGGGAUAUGGUCCAAUUUUCCUUACAGUGAUCCUAAACCAUAAAUAAAAAGAAUUAUUAGUUAAUUACAAUUAUUAAAUGGGAGAUUGAAUAAUAACAAUGAUUCUGGUAGAGUCAUAAUUAUUCCUUCAUUCUUAAUUAAAUAUUUUGAGUUUGUGCCUUGAUUAUUGACUAGUCCUUGUUAGGAAGUGUUUUACCCUCGAUAUAAAACCUCUCCACACGAAUCUGAAUUAAGUCAGGCAUCUAUGCAGAUACAUAAUACUAAGUAGAACUAACUCACAAUAAUUUGAUUGAACGGAGAUAUUUUUCAAGAUAUAGCCUUUCUUUGUAGCUUCAUGCACUUAUAUUUUGAGAUGUCCAUUGUGUUCAUAUUACUGUGGAACCCAUAGCAAUAAUUCAAUUGGAGUAGACCCCGUCUUCCAAAUUUUUGCAAGAUGUAAGAGCUCAAAUAUUAUACUCUAGAAGCAUAAUCUCCAUUCAUAUUCAGGGUAGAAGCUUAUGAAUCGGAGUUGAUCCAGAAGGACGUAGUAGUGAUAGGAGUGUAUUGCAUGUAACUUAUUUUAGAUAUACGUUUCUUGUUAAUAAAUAUCUGACUUGAUAUAUGAAGGAUUGAUGUAUGACAUAAUACAUUGGCGUUAGGUUCAGAAACUAAGUGAUCUUAGCAAAAAUGCAUAAGCUACUUAAAUGUUAUUUGGAAUAUGCUAAUAGUAAUUUUUUUGGUAUUGUUACUUGAGUAACUCUUUUCAUAAAAAAAAUUGGCAAAAUGAACUAAAUCACCUAUUGGUUAUUGCCUCUGAUAAAAUUUGAACCUGAAAUAUCAUAUCGACUUUAUUGAUAUCCAUUAGAAAUUAUUUCUCAGUUGAAAAUAAAUUGAAUUAAUAAAAUAAGCUAAAUAGAAUGGCAUAUGAAAUUUUUCUCAAUAAAUUAUGAGGCUUGUUAAUUUGAAACAAUAAGGUAAUAUCCUAGAAAUUUCUUUGUGACCGACAAAACAUGAAGACUAGACUUCAUUGCAUUGAAUAUAAACAACCAGUCAAAAGCAAUAAAUGUAGAAAAUUUUUAGGAAACUCUAAUGUAUAUCCACACAAUGGACCACUAAAAAUUGAAGUACAAGCACAUACUAGUGCAAAGAAAAAAGAAGGGCAAUUUCUCUGUCAUCGACAAAGCGACUUGACUUCAUCUGUUCAUUGUGAUGAAAGGUAAAAAUCCAUCAAAAAUAGUAGGAGAAAACUAUUUAAUUACACAAACAUUUCUACCAUAAUACUAGUAACAGAUUGAGAGAGGCCAGCGAAAAAGGGAGAAAGACGAGCGAGAGAGGAGAAAGGCGAGAAAGAAAGUCAACAUAUAUCUUUUGAUAUUAGAUACACAUAUUUUUUUAAUACUAGAUAUAUUAUGAAAUACAAAUACAUAGAGAGAGGGAAAGAAAGAGAGUCAGUAUAUCUUAGAUACAUAAGAGUCACACUUGAAUAUACAAUGUAUUUGGAACAAAUUAUAUCAAAUUUGACCCGCAUAUAUUUGAGAUACAUGUAUCUGAGUGACUUGUAUCUGGCGAAGUAAAUAUGGUACGAAAGAUGAUUUUAAAAUCUAAAAUAAAAUACGUAAUUAGACUCUAAACUAGUGAGAUUUGUAUUUUUUGUUCGUAAUAGUAAUAUGGUCCAGUUUUUCUUUGUGCACCAACCAUGACAAGAUUUCAAUAACAUAAACAAUGGAAGAAUUCAAAUGUAGUCUCUAUUGAUGCAUGUCUACUGUCAAAUUUACACAGUUUGUGAAUAGGAAUCACUGAAAAUGGUUAAUCAUUGAGAGUGUGCUGAAGUAUUCUAUGACAUCUUCCGACUAAUUGCAUCAUAUGAGAGGUAUUCAUCAUGCUUAACUCUAGCAAUAUGAAUUGUAACAGAGUAAUAAGCUGAUGAUAGAUGUUUGUGUAGCUAUAAAUCAUUUCAUUAAAGAUAAAAUGAGUAUUUUAAAGUUAGAUUGUAAUUAAAUAUAGAAGAAUAAUGACUAAAAGGGAUGACAUAUAAAUUCGGAAAGAAAAAGUAAUUAAGGAAUCAAAACAAUUAUUAGUAACAAUUUUCUUAGAGUGAGUCCAUAACCAUAAAUGAAAAGAAUUAUUAGUUAAUUACAAUUUUAAUUUUGAUUCGAAUCUGAUUUAAGUCAUGCCCCUAUGCAGGUGAAGGAUACCGAGUAGUAGAAUUAACUCGCAAUAAUUGAAUUUACCGGAGAUAUUUUUCAAAGGUACAGUCUUUCUUUGCAGCUUCAUCCACUUAUAUUUUGAGCUGUCCAUUGUGUUCAUAUUAUUGUGGACCCCAUAGCAAUAAUUCAAUUCAAAUUGGAAGAUCCCAUCUUCUAAAUUUUGCAAGUGUAGAGCUCAAAUAUUCAACUGAUGAAGCAUAAUUUCCAUUCAUAUUCAUAAUAGAAGCAACUUAUGAAUCAGAGUUAAUCCAGAAAGCGGAUUAUUAAGUAAUUCAGAGCAUUGAGUUUAGAAUAACGAAAAAAAAGACGUAGUAGCAAUAUGAGUGUACGUAUUGUUUGUUUUUUAUUUUAGAUAUAUGUUUCUUAUUAACAUAUACCUGACUUGAUAUCUGAAGGAGUAAAUAUGACAUAAUACACUAGCCUUAGGCUCGAAAACUAAAGUGAUCUUUGAAAAAUGCAAAAGCUACUUCACUAUUAUUUGAAAUAUACUAAUAGUAAUUUUAUAGUAUAUAGAAAUAAGGAAUUACAUGAUGUUAUAAUCUCGAUUUUCCGAAGUCUUUGUACGGUAAAGUUUUUUUAUAUAUUUUUUUUUCUUUUUCAAAUUUUAUGAUAGUAGAGGUAUCAUCUCGAUUAUUUUAUUAAUAUUUCUACUUGAGUAAAUCUUUUUAAUCAAGAUUUUUACAAAAAGAACUAAAUCACCUAAUGAUUAUUGGUAUUUGGAUCUGAAAUAUCAUACCGACUUUAUUGAUAUUCAUUAAAACUCACAUUUGGAACAAAAUAUUAGUAUUAAUUAGAUGUUUUAAAAUAAAAUUUAGAUAUUUAAAAACUAUACAAAAUAUAAUCUAAAUUUUAACUUUUUUCAUAAUAUGAUGACAAAAAUACAUUUUAAAUGUUAAUUAAAAUUCAUAUUGUUUGACUUUUUAAAAAAAUGGUGACAAAUAAAAAGGAAAAGAAGAAAUAUUAAAGAGUAUACACUUUUGUCGAAAUGUUAAAUUGAAGUACGUACAAUAUUUACUGGAAUAUUCAUAUUUACUCUACUAAUUAAACACACCCCAAAUGUAUUUAACUCCAUUUAUUACUGAAGCUGGAGUUUGGUGACCUUUUCUCAAUUUCUGUUGGAAUUCGUCAACUCAAUUCACAAUUAAAUAUAAAUGCAGAGAAUUAAGGCGUGGCUCCACGUAGAGAGAGGGUGAGAAAGAGAGUCAGUGUAUCUAAAAUACAUACGUGUCACACUUGAAUAUAUAGUAUAUUUGGAACAAAUUACACCAAAUUUGACGCGCAUAUACUUAAGAUACAUGUAUCUGAGUGCCUAGAUGAUUGUACUUGGCGAAGUAAAAAUAUGGUACGAAAGAUAAUUUCAAAAACUAAAAUAAAAAUAUGUAAUUAGACUCUAAGCUAGUGGGAUUUGUAUUAUUUGGUCCUAAUAGUAAUAUGGUCCAAUUUUUCUUUGUGCAGAUGAAUAGUGGGUCCAUCCAUAACCAUCAAUGAUCUAUCGAGAAGCAAUAGAAAUUCAAAUUAGUAGAAAAAUAAUAUGUAUGGCUAAAAUCCCAUUGGAUUUCUGGAGCUGAAACUUCUCAGAAUAAUUAAUGCAUUGACUAAGUAGACAAAAAGAAAUUUCCUAUUAAUAUUAUUAGUUGACUAGAAUGUUUAUUUCUUCUUUCCUCUACAUAACUAAUUUGUUCAUCAAUUGAUCUCAUCCGAUCCAUACACUUUAGUUUUUCUUUUCAGACAAUUAAUUGAAUCUAUGGCAUCUUCUUCUUCUGUGAGUAGUCCUCGAUGCAAGUACGAGGUCUUUCUAAGUUUCAGAGGCGAAGAUACCCGGAGAAAUUUUAUGAGUCACUUGUACCAAGGUUUGAAAAACAGGGGAAUAGUCACCUUUCUAGAUGAUAAAAGGCUAGAGGAUGGCGAUUCCAUCUCAGAAGAACUCAUGAAAGCGAUAGAAGAGACUCAAGUUGCCGUAAUCAUUUUCUCAAAGAAUUAUGCUACGUCAAGUUGGUGCUUGAAUGAACUAGUGAAGAUUAUGGAAUGCAAGAAGAAAGAAAAUGGACACAUGACAGUUAUACCGGUCUUCUGUAAUGUGGAUGCAUCACAUGUUCGAUACCAAAGUCAGAGCUUUAAAGAAGCAUUUGCCAAACAUGAAUCGAGGUAUAAGGAUGAUGAUGCGGGAAUGCAGAAGGUGCAACGAUGGAGAACUGCCCUAACUGCUGCCGCAGAUCUAAAAGGAUAUGUAUUCCCUAGCAGGUCAGUUAAAAACACAAAUUUAAUUCUUCUUUUUUGUACACAUAGUUAUAUUCUACUAUAGAACAAAUAAUUUGUACUCAAAACAGAAUCUUAAAUAAUUAUAUUAGCAUUAUUUUUAUUCUUCUUUUUUUGCAGGGGUGAGUCAGAUGCAGACUGUAUUAAGGGUAUUGUUGAUCAAAUUUCGUCUAAGUGCAAUACUUCAGUAUCUUAUUUGCAAGACGUUAUGGGUUUAGAUACUCAAUUAAAGAAAGUAGAAUCCCUACUAAAGAUGGAAAUCAAUGAUAUUGAUCGGAUUGUGUGGAUCUGGGGUAUGGGAGGCAUCGGUAAAACGACAAUAGCAAAGAAAAUUUUUUAUGAGCUCUCGUCCAAAUUUGAAGUUGUUUGUUUCCUUGAGAAUAUCAAAGAAAACAAACACAAAAUACACUCUCUCCAAAAUAUCCUUCUCUCUAAACUACUAGGGGAGAAAGAAAAUUGCGUGGAUAAUAAGGAGGCGGGGAGGAGCAUGUUGUAUAAGAGACUUCUGCUAAAGAAGGUUUUAAUUGUGCUUGAUGACAUAGAUCACAUAGACCAGUUGGAAUACCUAGCAAAGGAUCUCAGUUGGUUUGGCAAGGGUAGCAGGAUUAUUGCAACCACUAGAGAUCAACAUUUGAUAGGGGAAAAUGACGUAGUAUAUGAAAUGGAAACACUACUUGACCGUGAUGCUAUUAAAUUGUUCAAUCAAUAUGCUUUCAAAGAAAAAGUUCCAAAUGAGUGUUUUAAAGAUCUAACGUUGGAGAUAGUAAGUCUUGCUAAAGGCCAUCCUUUAGCCCUGAAAGUAUGGGGUUCUUCAUUACACCGGAUGAAUAAAACUGAGUGGGAAAGUGCCUUGGUCCAAAUAAAGAAAAACUCUGGUGUAGAAAUUACUGAAAAUCUCAGAAUAAGUUAUGAUGGGUUGGAGUCCGAACAACAAGAGAUAUUUCUAGAUAUAGCAUGUUUCUUUCGAGGAAUUGAAAAAGAAAAAGUCAAGCAAGUUCUUGAGAGCUGUUAUUCUAGACCAGAAUUUGGAUUGCGUGUUCUAGUUAACAAAUCUCUCGUGUCCAUCUCUGAAUAUGGUAAGAUUGAAAUGCAUGACUUAAUACAAGAUAUGGGUAAAUGUAUAGUGAAAAAGGGAAAGCAUCUGGGAGAACAUAGCAGAUUAUGGAAUGUUAAAGAUUUCAAAGAAGUGGUGGACAACAAUAUGGUAAGUAGGCUAAACAAUGCAAUAAUAUUCAAUUUUACUUUUCAUAUUCCAAAGACAUAUAGAAUAUAUAGUCAAUUUCAUUUAUUUACUCAUCUUUAUUUAUAUUCUAGCACGUAUGUCAUUUUGGUGAGUUAUUACUUUAAGGGAACAAGACCUGAUAUAUCUCUUAACUUUGUCAUUUGGAUUUGAUAAGCCUUUCGUUUUGAAAGUGACUCACAUAUACCCUUAUUGUUAUACAAACGGCUCACAUAUACCCCUACGUUACAAAAUGAGCUCAUAUAUAUCCUUCAUUUAACGAGAGUGAAAAAUUAGUUUUAAAUUUAUAUAUUUAAAUUUUAUUUUUAAAAACAAAAUUAUUUAGGGGUAUAUAUGAUCAUUCUAGCAAGAUUCAAUGUAUAUUUUAAUCUUUUUCAUAAAUGAAUUAUUUUUUGACUUCUUUGAUUAUCAUUAUUUGAGUUUCUUGUUCUUAUUUUAUUUUUUUCUUUCAUUCCUUAAUGUAAAGAAAAAAAUUAAAACUAUUUUUUGUGGCUAUAUUAUAAUUUAAAAAAUUAUUUUUCAGCUAUAUUGUAAUUUAGUUUUUGUAUUUAGAAAACAAAACUGUGUCAUCUAUAAUAAAUUUUACAAAAAUAUUAGUGAAACAUAAAUAAAUUUGACCAUCAAAAUAAUAAAUCUAAAUUAGUCAUUGAAACAAAAAAGGUCAAAAAAAAUAUAUGUUUGAGGAUGAUUAUGUAUACCCUUAUGGAAUUAUAUUUUUUUUAAAACAAAAUAAGUAAAAAAUUAAAUUAAAAUUAUUUUUUCACUUUCGUUAGAGGAAAAGGGUAUAUGUGAGCCAUUUAUAUAACAAUAGGAGUAUAUAUUAGCACUUUCAUAACGAAGGGUAUAUCAACUCUAAAUGACAAAGUUGAGAGAUAUAUCAGAUUCUUUUCCUUUACUUUAUUAAUAAUAGAAGCAAAAAUAACAGUAGUUGCCUAAGGUAGCUAAUUCGUCAAGUAUUGAUUUUUAGUUAACGUUGCCUAAUUCGUUUAUGUUAUGCUAUUAUUCCACUUGAUCUAUUUGUCCAAUUUUUUUAUUUGAAUUAACUUGUAAUUUGUAUGACAUUUUGUACCUACUAACUCAAUAAAUUUUUGAGCUAAUAUCCCCCAGAUAUUUACCAUGCGUAACUUUUUAUUAACAUAAAUUCUCUAAUGAAAAAAUACAAGGGGAGGGCCAAAACUUACCUUACCAAUCCUGGGUUGGUAAUUCACUUGAUCAUUUAUUAUUUUUUAUUUAAAAGAUGAAAAUUAUUGAUACAAUAUUGUUCUAUUAGAGCAUGAAAAACUUAAUGGUACUAGCUCUUCAAGAACUUGAAGUGCAAAAAUAAGUAAUACAAAAAAAAAAAAAGAUGUGAUGAUGGACAAUAUGGUAAGUAUUCAUAUUUCAAACAUAUAUAUAUAUACUCUGUUCCUCUAGCUUCAUAUACUGAGGCACAAGUCAUUUAAGUUGUUUCAAAUCCACACUACCUAGUUAAUAAGUUAUGAAUUACUCUAAUAGCCACUUAAUAUAUUUAAUCUUAUAUCAUUCUUUGGAUUAACUUGAAAUUUAUAUAGUAUUUAAUUUGUUCAUACUAAUUUAAUCAAUGAUUUUUUAAAAGCUAAUAUCACCCAUUUAUUUACCCCAAGUAAUUUUUAUUAGUAAAAAUUCAGAAAUGAAAAAUAAAUUUAGGAGGGCCAAAACUUAAUUACCUUACUAAUUCACUUGAUCAUUAUUAAUUCUUUUUCAUUUAAAAGAUGACAGUUAUUGACACUAUUUCAGUUACAAUUUUUGUUUUAUAAGAGCAUGGAAAACUUUUUAACUUGAGUCUAAUAAACUUCUCCAAAAAUGUAUCAUUAAAAAAUAAAAUUAACUACGCAAAGCAUUUCUCUUAACUAAUAUUUGUACCUAAAAUUUUAUUUGAUGGUGCUGGCUCUUCAAGUACAAUAAUAAUAAUAUAAAACAUGACAAAAAAUUGUAAGAAAACAAUGAUAUUGAUAAUUGGAUUGUACAUGACAUGUUGAUUCAUGAUCUUUUUAUAGGGGACCAUGGCAGUGGAAGCAAUCUGGCUUACUUAUUCUGGAGAACUAUGGUUUAGCAAAGACGCAAUGAAAAAUAUGCAAAGGCUUAGGAUAUUAUGCAUACAGAGUUAUCCUUGGGGGUUAUUGAAUACCUACAAGGACCAAUCUUCCCAAAGUGAUUCAGAAGAUGAGUACUUGGGAGUUAUUGAAUACCUUUCCAACAACUUGUGUUGGUUUGUCUGGCAUGAAUAUCCUUGGAAGUUAUUGCCAAGAAAUUUUAAUCCCAGAAGGCUUGUUCAUCUUGAUCUCCGAUGGAGUUCAUUGCAUUAUUUAUGGAAUGAAACAAAGGUACCAUUCCAUUGGAGAUACUUUCUAUUUUGUCUUGUCCUAGAAUUAUGAUUCUUGUGUUAAAAUGAAAAUAAGUUAUUAAUUCCAUAAACUCAAACUAAUGUAUUUUGGGUUGUACGUUCUCAUAUUAUUAAUCUCUAUGAAUUGCAUUUCCAACCUCUGCAUCUAAAGAAGAAACAAAAAGAAAUAUGUUGGCACAACUUUUCUACAUCAACAUCCAGAUAAUCAAGUAUAGCGGAAAUUUAAAUAAAACAUGCUAAGAUUAAGGUCUUCUUUUAGAUAUUUUACCUUUUAUUUAUUUAUUUAUUUAUUAUAACAUGAUUUUUAUCUAGUUUCUGAGCAUGUAAUUUCCAUAUAAAGUAAAAUAAACAAUUUCUCAUUUCACACGUUGAAUUAUAAUAUAAACAUGUCGUUUACUACUUUUCAUAAUUCUUUCUGUGUUUUGAAUAACUGCAGCAAUUUCUGUCUCUACGAAGGAUAGAUCUAAGUCACUCCAAAAGCCUGAAGAGAACACCAGAUUUCAAGGGGAUGCCAAAUUUGAAGUAUUUGGAUCUAAACAAAUGUAGGAGUCUUGAAGAAGUUCAUCCUUCCCUCAAGGAUUGCAAAGAACUCAAGCAGUUAAAUUUGUCUUUUUGUUCAAAACUUGAGAGGUUUCCAUAUGUUAAUGUGGAAUCUCUUGGAUCUCUGAAUCUAUAUUACUGCCCUAGUUUAGAGAAAUUUCCAGAAAUCCUUGGAAUAAUGAAGCAGGGAACUGCCAUACAGAUUAUAACGUCAUACACUGGGAUAAGGGACCUGCCAUUAUCUUUCUUUGAUCACCAACUUCAUCUUAUAGAGCUACGUUUGGAUGGCAUGAAAAACCUUGUAUCUCUUCCAAGCAGCAUUUGUAAGUCAAAAGGUUUGGUGAAGCUAGAUGUGUCAAAGUGCUCCAAACUUGAAAGCUUGCCAGAAGAGAUAGGUGAUUUAGAAAACUUGGAGGAGCUUCAUGCCAACAAUACUCUAAUCUCACGUCCUCCUUCUUCCAUCGUCCGGUUGAACAAACUUAAAUCAUUAACUUUUGCAAAAGAAAAAUCAGAAGAUGGAUUGUUAUUUGUGUUCCCUCUGGUGAAUGAAGGGUUACUCUCAUUGGAAUAUCUGGAUCUCAGCUACUCCAAUAUAAUAGAUGGAGGACUUCCGGAAGACAUUGGAUGUUUAUCCUCUUUGGAAGACUUGAAUCUCAGUGGAAAUAAUUUUGAGCAUUUGCCUCAUAGCAUUGCCCAUCUUGGUCUUGAAUACUUGAACUUAUCAGAUUGCCAGAGGCUUACACAGCUGCCAGAAGACAUUGGAUCCUUAUCCUCUUUGGAAAAGUUGUAUCUCCAGAGAAAUAAUUUUGAGCAUUUGCCUCAUAGCAUUGCCCAUCUUGGUCUUGAAUACUUGAACUUAUCAGAUUGCCAGAGGCUUACACAGCUGCCAGAAUUUCCACAGCAAUUACACACAAUACAUGCAGAUUGGAGCAAUGCUUCGAUCUGUAAUUCGUUGUUUCAGAACAUCUCAUCAUUGCAGCAUGACAUCUGUUCUUCACAUUCCUUGUCACUAAGAGUGUUUGGGAGUUGGUCGGAUGAUAUCCCAAGAUGGUUCCACCAUCACGAAGUUGGUAGAAGUAUAUCAGUCAAAUUGCCUGAAAAUUGGUACAUAAGUGAUAACUUCUUGGGAUUUGCUGUAUGUUAUUCUGGCAAACAUAUUGAUUGCAUCACAGCUCAUUUGAUUCCCUUAUGUGAUGAUGGGAUGUCGUCGAAGACCCAGCAAUUUUCCUUAUCCGACAAUUCAGAAUUAGACGAUAUUGAUGAAUCUGUUAUUAAUUUUUUGUUGGUACCUCUUGGUGGCUUAUGGGAUGCAUCUAAUGCAAAUGAAAAAACACCAAAUGACUAUGGGUGCAUUAAGUUAGAUUUUAUUGGAGAAACAGAUGAUGCUUUUGGAGAAACAGAUGAUGAUUUUGAAGAAACAGAUGAUGAAUUUGGAGAAAAUAUGAAAUUUGGAGUUCGUUUGUUGUAUAAAAAUGAAUCUGAGCUUUGCAUUGGGAAAAGGAAGAGUAGAUAUGAAGAAGAGGCCACUUGCUCCUCUUCUAAGAAACUCUUGCAGCUCUUUCCCACAAGCCCCGGAUUAUAGCUAGGUAUAUACCUCAUGAAUUUGUUGUCUCUUUAUAUAUAAAUUAUUUCUUCUCAUUCUUUCCCCUAUUGGCAAUCAGCUGUGAGUUUGAUUCUCCUCUUAAUGGUUCUAACAACUUUUAUUCUGAUUUCCGAUUUCUUUGUCAUAACAAUUUGGGUAUGCAAAAAUUCAUUCUUUUUAAAUUUCAUUUCAAAAUAUAAAUCACAUUUUCCAUUUUCUGACAAAAUGAGUUUAUUCGUUGAUAUCUAACAAUGAAUUUAAACGAUACAAUACAAUAAAAUUUAUGUGACAAUCAAAAUUUUUGUUGUAUAAAGAUGUAGCUGAGCUUUGCAUUGGGAUAAGGAGGAGCAGAGGCCAGUGGCUCCUCUUCUAAGAAACAAAGGUCACAAGUAGAUUAAAUAUAGGUAAUCAAAUUGUGCUCUCUCUUUGACAAAUUGCAGAUGAAUGGAAAGACAUUUAAAAAAAAAAUUGUUAAGUGUCACACUAUUUUUUCUUUUCUACUAUAUUAGAAGUGUGGGAUGCCUUUUGGUAUCAACAUGUUUGUUAAAUGUCAAUAAAUUUCAGCUGAAGGGUAUUUUAGUCUUUUAGUAAGAUUUUCUUAUUCUACGUGUCAUCUAGAUUGAAGUAUUAUACAAGUAAAACAAUGUUUGUUAUUUUUAAUAAAACAAUGUUUGUUAAAUGUCAAUUAAUUUUUUAAGAUUCGAUUCCUUAAGUUCUCAUAUUCAUAUAUAUUUUUUCCUUAAUUUUAUUUUGAGCUUCAAUUUUUUUCUCUGAUAUUUACAUUUGGCUGAAUAGAUUUAUAACGGUUUGAUUUUAGAGGUAGGUUGAUGGGUUAAUGAAGUUUGAAUCUGAUAGAAUCCAAAAUGACAGAUGAAUAUUCAAAGAAUUGGAUAGAUGUAUGAGUAGUUUUGAUGAAGGUAAUUGUUUCUUGGAUUUUCUUGGUCAAUCUUACUGAGUGAAAAUUUGAGAGAAUUAAUUAUUUUGGCUGUUAAAAUUGUUAUUGUUGGUGAAAUUUCUGAAGUGGGGUUGUUGAAAUCACAAUGGAUCAUGUUGUGGGUGGGAAGUUUAAGCUUGGAAGGAAGAUUAAAAGUGGUUCUUUUGGUGAGCUUUAUUUAAGUAUGUCACUUGGUAGAUUUGAUUCUAUGGUCAAAACCCCAUUUCCUUUACUUUUGAAUUUUGUGUUUUUAGUUGUUUUAUUAGCUAUUGUUUUGUGUUUCUUAUCUUUUCUGCUUCUUGCUGCUUUAUUGGUUCAAGUGUGAAUAUACAGAAUGGAGAUGAAGUUGCCAUUAACAUGACCUACUACAUCCCAUCAACACAAAUACUAAAUAAAUUGACGUUAAUUUCAAACUGAUUUCAGAAAGCUAUUAGUUUUCAUAUUUCUAAUAGGGUGCACUCUAACCCUAUAAACACGUGAUAUAGUUUGUAACUUCUUACGUUUUCAUAUCCGUGAUGUUCGAGCUCAACUGAUUUCCUAACCUGCUAUAUCCCAUCAACACAAAUACUAGAUAAAUUGACAUCUCUUUAAUGCAAAAAUGAUAUGAGCUGCUACUUAAUUCUUAUAUUUGAUGGUUUGAACAACAAACUCUAAUUCAUUUGUGCAUAUGAGACAAUUUCUUUCGGGUACUAAUCAACACUGAUUUCCUUUGAACUUAUACAUUCUGAUUAACUCUUUGUAAUGUAUCCAAGGAGUUUUAUUAAAACUUACAUGAUGAAAGCUCACCAAAUCUAAUUUGGUUUAUUCAAAUUUAUUCAAGGAAAUAUAACAUUCUUCUUUUCAUCACAAGGAUUAGUGAUGUUGCAACUAUGUAAUUUUUAUGUGGGAUAAGUCAAGGGUAUAUUAUAUUCUCUACAGUUUACGAGAAUUAUGCAUCAUUUUAGCAAAUGAGUUCCACUCUUUGUUCAAAGAUAUUGAUUUGUCGUUAACAUCUACCAUUUUUUUAUGGGAAAAUGCAUGAGUACCCCCUCACCCUAUGCCUGAAAUCCCAGAGACACACCUAACCUUUACUAAGGUCCUAUUACCCCCCCGAACUUAAUUUAUCUAUAAUAUUCUACCCCUUUUCGGCCUACGUGGCACUAUCCUUGAAAAAAUUGUCAACAUGCGCUGGGCCCACCUGAUAGUGCCACGUAGGCCAAAAAGGGGUAGAAUAUUACAUAUAAAAUAAGUUCGGGGNNNNNNNNNNNNNNNNNNNNNNNNNNNNNNNNNNNNNNNNNNNNNNNNNNNNNNNNNNNNNNNNNNNNNNNNNNNNNNNNNNNNNNNNNNNNNNNNNNNNNNNNNNNNNNNNNNNNNNNNNNNNNNNNNNNNNNNNNNNNNNNNNNNNNNNNNNNNNNNNNNNNNNNNNNNNNNNNNNNNNNNNNNNNNNNNNNNNNNNNNNNNNNNNNNNNNNNNNNNNNNNNNNNNNNNNNNNNNNNNNNNNNNNNNNNNNNNNNNNNNNNNNNNNNNNNNNNNNNNNNNNNNNNNNNNNNNNNNNNNNNNNNNNNNNNNNNNNNNNNNNNNNNNNNNNNNNNNNNNNNNNNNNNNNNNNNNNNNNNNNNNNNNNNNNNNNNNNNNNNNNNNNNNNNNNNNNNNNNNNNNNNNNNNNNNNNNNNNNNNNNNNNNNNNNNNNNNNNNNNNNNNNNNNNNNNNNNNNNNNNNNNNNNNNNNNNNNNNNNNNNNNNNNNNNNNNNNNNNNNNNNNNNNNNNNNNNNNNNNNNNNNNNNNNNNNNNNNNNNNNNNNNNNNNNNNNNNNNNNNNNNNNNNNNNNNNNNNNNNNNNNNNNNNNNNNNNNNNNNNNNNNNNNNNNNNNNNNNNNNNNNNNNNNNNNNNNNNNNNNNNNNNNNNNNNNNNNNNNNNNNNNNNNNNNNNNNNNNNNNNNNNNNNNNNNNNNNNNNNNNNNNNNNNNNNNNNNNNNNNNNNNNNNNNNNNNNNNNNNNNNNNNNNNNNNNNNNNNNNNNNNNNNNNNNNNNNNNNNNNNNNNNNNNNNNNNNNNNNNNNNNNNNNNNNNNNNNNNNNNNNNNNNNNNNNNNNNNNNNNNNNNNNNNNNNNNNNNNNNNNNNNNNNNNNNNNNNNNNNNNNNNNNNNNNNNNNNNNNNNNNNNNNNNNNNNNNNNNNNNNNNNNNNNNNNNNNNNNNNNNNNNNNNNNNNNNNNNNNNNNNNNNNNNNNNNNNNNNNNNNNNNNNNNNNNNNNNNNNNNNNNNNNNNNNNNNNNNNNNNNNNNNNNNNNNNNNNNNNNNNNNNNNNNNNNNNNNNNNNNNNNNNNNNNNNNNNNNNNNNNNNNNNNNNNNNNNNNNNNNNNNNNNNNNNAGACACACCUAAUCUUUACUAAGGUCCUAUUACCCCCCCGAACUUAAUUUAUCUAUAAUAUUCUACCCCUUUUCGGCCUACGUGGCACUAUCAGGUGGGCCCAGCGCAUGUUGACAAUUUUUUCAAGGAUAGUGCCACGUAGGCCGAAAAGGGGUAGAAUAUUAUAGAUAAAUUAAGUUCGGGGGGGUAAUAGGACCUUAGUAAAGGUUAAGUGUGUCUCUGGGAUUUCGGGCAUAGGCUGGGGGGUACUUAUGCAUUUUCCCUUUUUUUAUUGUUGAAGUUGCGAUGAACAUGUUCUUUGAUUAAUUAUCUAUUAUAAAUUGUUCUGAAAAUCUGUAAUGGUACUGUAAAAUAUUGCGUCUAAAAUUUAUUAUUUACAUUGUAGGAAGUAUGGAAAUAAAGGGGUCAGCUUCUUGGCAUACUAGGAAGCAUGGAAUUAAUUAGGAGGGCGUUUUUUUCCAUGAGGGUAGGGAGUUUGGAUUGGUGUAACAAAAAUUGAAUUUUUAGGUUUCUUAUUCUUCCGCAUAUAGCUUAUUAUUGUUCUGUUGUUGGGAGUUCUGCUUAAGUUAUUAAAGAACCAAUUUGCAAACUGAUUAUUAUCUACAAAUUGUCUCAGUUGAUAUAUACUCUCUUGAAUCUAUGACAUUGUUUCAAUAUUGAAAAUGCAGAUUCUUUGAGGUCGUAGCAGGGGUAAUUUGAGCUUGUGAUUGGACUUUUAGCUAGCCAUUUCAUUAUUUAUAAGGUAAGAAAGGUGCUCCAAUUUUUUUUAAUUUGUUUUUCGUUGGUCCCUUUGUUGCCAUUAACUGCAACUUCAUUUAAUGUUAUAAGAGAGGUUGUUGAAUAUAAUUUGACUAAUUGACAAAGAGAGAAUUUCUGAAAGUAUUUCAAACCUGUUUAUCAUCUAUGUAUACUAUGACUGUACUGAUGUUAGCUUGAUCUGUGUUGCAGCCCUGUAGGCUUCAUCUUCUCAGGAUACAACACAACUAACUGAUAGUUCUUGAAGCUGUUUUAGAAACAACAAUAGUUACUCUAGAACUGAAAAAUUGUACUAAAUGAUAGUUGUAGUACAAAUAGUUGUGAAUAUUAACGUGUUAUUCAUGAAUCAUGAUAAUAAAAUUCCACCUCUUAUGUUUUUCCUUUCCCGCUAAAGUCAGUUCACUUUCUCUCUUCCUAACCACUCUUUUAUAUAUACAGUGUUCUUUCAACCCAAUUUUAUCUCCUAAAAGCAUUAGCAAUAAGUUGGAUUAUGAAACAAUCAAAUACAAUAUAAAGUACGACACUGUUCUUUGUCGGUCACGAUAGCAGAUCGUUGGGCCCAUACUUGCACGGGCUUAUAUCAUCUAGUCUAUUUUAGUAAGUGCAAGAAAGGCAUUUGAUUAAUCAUCUCUGAAAUUAAUGUAAUCUAAGCUAAGAAACACUGCUACAUAAUUGAACCCCCCCUCCCCCCCCAUUAAUAUUCUCAUUUCUUGUUCAAUAUAUUACCAAUAUCGAGCACGAAACGAUAUUUCACAUCCGAUUUCAGAAGAUGUUCCAAUGCUGUGUUCACGUAGUCCAUUGGCACGACUUCAACAUCUGGUGUUAUGUUAUGCUUGGCCGCGAAAUCCAACAUUUCUCAAGUCUCUUUCAUACCUCCUAUGCAACUUCCAGCCACUAGCUUCCUUCCAGUUUUCCACAUUAUAUAUACAAUUCUCACAUUUUCGACAUGAUCCUACCAUACAUCCAACAUCUACUUUGUCUCCAACCUUACAUUUCUCCACCUUGCUUCCGACCUCAGUUACCACACCAACAACCUCAUGCCUGCAAUUAUAUUUUCAAUUAGUUACACUCACGAGUAGAUAGAAUCGACACAAAUUCCGCUAAUAUUUACUCCCUCUAUCCCAAUCCCAGUUUAUAUGAUUUACUUUUCUUUUUAAUCCGUCCCAAAUAGAAUGACACAUUUAACUUUAAAAUGUUCAUCUUACUCUUAAUGAAAUGAUUUAUAGUCAUACAAAUUUGUAUCAGUCAUUUUAGACCACUAGUUUUAAAAGUCUUCCUUUCUUUCUUAAACUCCAUACUGAGUCAAACUAACUCUUAUAAAAUGGGACAGAGGGAGUGUUGACACCCAAUUUUGACCCUCCCCGAUAGGAAUUAAUUCACGAGCUUCUUAAUUCCCAAACGAUUUAGAAUAAUUAGUUUUAUAAAAUUCGAAUACUUUUCAAAGUCAUUUUGAGUAAUCUUAGGUGAUUUUCAUAAUUUAUAAAUUAUAAAUAUAUUUCAUGUAAUUAUAUAUGUAAUUAGUAUAUCUUAUGAACAUUCAAAAAUUAUCUCAAAAAGAAUUUAGUUUUACUUAAAUACUUUAUUAAAUUAAUUUGUCUAAAUUAGUAGUUCAUGUUUUGAGUCUUUAGUUUACAAUCGAGUUAAUUAUUAUAUUUUGUUGAGAUUAAAGAGCUCAUAAAUUAAUUAUAUUAAUUCGUCUUAUUUAGUUACUAGCCGAGCUUACCAAAUGAAUUCCAUUUGACUACGUUCCUAAUUCAUUGGCUAAAUUUGUAAUGCAAUUGAUCACUCAAUUCGAUUAAAAAUAAUGAUUUAUUAGCCGAAUUUCCUAAACUCAUUUGACCAAGAAAUUGGACCCUUUGCUGUCCAAAACAUUUCCAGCGGCCCACUUCUUCAUUGGCAUUCAAUAUUCCUCCAGCAUAUUUUCCAACAGCCCAUUCUUGUGCUUCCAGCAAAUGUACACGUACAGCAGCCCAUUCUAUUAAUUCCCCACAAUUUCAGCAACCCAAUAACGUACAGAAAUUCCCUUGACCCGGCCCAUUUGCAUUCAACUAGAAGACCCAGAAACGUCUUCAACAGCAGCUCAAAACAGCAACAAUACAACGUCUCCUCACGGCGUCAGUUCCGGCGAUUCUAGUCCAAUCGCGCGUACCAGCGAUUCCAAUCCAACUGUUGUGUCGUCUUUCUCCCGUCCCUCUCAAAUUGUACGUUUUCAGCAGUGAGCAAGCACGCGUCUGCCCCCAUUCCUCUUCCGGAAUGGGGUGAAAUCUUCAGAAAAGGGUGUCUCCCCUUUAAUGGAAAGGAUUUCAAAUUUUGAAUUUGGGAAUGGGCCUUGAACCGAAAAUUUUCGUACCUUCUUCUCUCAUUUCCGAACCCUAUUCUCUCUCCUAUAUAUGUUGUUAUUGUUCACUGGGAGGGGGGGGAUUUUUUUUUUGGGGGGAAACGAAAAAAAGAAGAGAAAAGAUUUGAGUUGGAAAAAGGUUAAAAAAAAAAGAGGUUGGCAUUUUUAGUAGAAAAUACUACGGAGAAUUUAGUUUGCGAAAAAAGAAGAAGUGAGAACUAGAUACAGAAAUCAGAAAGAAUCACACAAGAGAACAAAUGGUAGGAUCGAUUUUGAACUGAGUUUCACUCCCUUACUCUCUUCGUUGCUCUUUCGAGUUCGUGGAGGUUUAGAGUCGGUGGUGGAAGUCAGUUUCUCGCUCGUUGCCGUCCCCGUCGCUGUAUCGGAAAAGGUAAUGUCCUCGUCUUAUUAUUUCUCCUUCAAUGUGGCGUUCUUCUGAUUUACGGGAAAUAAUCAUAGAUAGUCUUUGAUGAAGUCUCUUUGGGUGAUUAAGGUGUCAAUCUUUUUGGGUCUGUUGGUUCUAUAGAGUACCUUAAAUCCUUGCCUCAUUUUUCGCCUUGAAUAGCUCGAUAUUUAUUUGAUUUUCGGUUUGAGAAUGCUAGUUGUGUAGUCCUGUUCCUUCACUGCUUCAUUUUGUUCAAAAUAGUUUUAUGCUCAUUAUUUUGAGUGCAUUAGCGGUACAGUUCUACUUCUCCACUGUUCAUUUAUGCUCUUGGUUGUCUUCUCUAUCGAUUGGAACUUCCAUAUGCUUGCCUAAUUUUGUAGAAUCUAUCUCUGUUCUUGCAACUGGAAUGUCUUCUUUGUCUUGUGUAUUUCAGCUAGCAGUUAUAUUGGUGGUCCACCAUAAUCUUGUUUGGAUUUGGCUCCCUUGUUUAUUGUUAAUUCGUCUCCGAAAUGUGUCUUUUUCCUUUAUACGUUGGGCUGCUUUGAUUUUCGAAAUGAGAUUUUAAAAAAUAAUAAUUUGUUUCUUGCCCUUUUCUUUCCAAGCAUAUCAUCUGUUUCUUGUCUCAUUUGGCUGCUAAUUUNNNNNNNNNNNNNNNNNNNNNNNNNNNNNNNNNNNNNNNNNNNNNNNNNNNNNNNNNNNNNNNNNNNNNNNNNNNNNNNNNNNNNNNNNNNNNNNNNNNNNNNNNNNNNNNNNNNNNNNNNNNNNNNNNNNNNNNNNNNNNNNNNNNNNNNNNNNNNNNNNNNNNNNNNNNNNNNNNNNNNNNNNNNNNNNNNNNNNNNNNNNNNNNNNNNNNNNNNNNNNNNNNNNNNNNNNNNNNNNNNNNNNNNNNNNNNNNNNNNNNNNNNNNNNNNNNNNNNNNNNNNNNNNNNNNNNNNNNNNNNNNNNNNNNNNNNNNNNNNNNNNNNNNNNNNNNNNNNNNNNNCUGCUUAUUUUGAAUGCAUGCUCAUGUAUGGAAAAUGUGUUAAAAGUCUACUGUAUUAUUUUGAUUUUGCUUGCUGCCAUCUCUUAUCAAAUUCCAAGGGAUAGAAAUGUUUAGUCCCUUUUUAGUGAUGGAUUGAGAAACGUGUCUCUGCAUGUUUUCCUUCAAAAGGACUAUUUGUCAAUUUGCACUUUCUUAGGCUAUACGCAUAUUAUUAGUUUAUCUCUUUUGGGAUUCAUUCAUCCGCCUUGUGCUCCUUGUCUUUUAUUUUGGUUAAACUUGUCCGUCGAUUUCGUUCUUUAAAUGAAUUUACCGUAAAAAAUUAAUUUUUGAAUUUAGUUCAUCUUAAGCUAUGAAUGUAUGUGUACUACUAUCUAUGGGAUAUAAAUAUAUGUAUGUGAAACAUUUGUUUUCUCUAUGCUUACUUAUUAAUUAUGUCAAUAUGCAGACCCAUAUGAAUGCAGCACCUCAAUCUUCUAACAUUAUAAUAAUAACAUUAAUUCAUGCUUAACAAUUACACUUCCAACCCAUUUCCAAUUUUAACACAUCAUUAUUCAGUGGUCAACAAUGUUUGUCCCAAUUUGCCAUCAGCUUUCACGUGGAAGCAGUUAUUAUACAUAUGUCCUUCAAAUUUCACUUUAUAAUAUAGUAAUAUAUAUUCCUAUCAACUAUCAAUACAUACAAUACAACAUUAGAGCUUGUCGAAUUCUAAUCCUAAUCAAUGUUAUUUAUUUAUUUAUUCAUUUAUAUUUUUUUUCUCACUGUGAUGAUUAGGCGGUAGUGAUUUUUACUCUCCUUUAGUUUCUUAUAUUAAGUCAUGUGGGUUGUUACUCAUAAGUUUACUUGUUUUUGUUGCAUGUGAAAUUCGCCCGAGUUCAUUGUGAACUCCCAUCAUUCCCUUUGCAUUUCGAGAGAACCAUAAAGGCUCAAAUUCCAUCUUCAUCGAGUCUACCGACCCAUAAAAAUCGAUGUACAGGUCCCGAAGCCAAAAGAAAAGCGGAACAGAUCGGGAGUUGAAAAGGAUUGGGCCAAAAGCCCGCCUAUAUUAAUUAUGAGUUGUAUUUUGUUAUAUUGGGCCUAAGCCCCCUUGUCAUUAUUUAUUAUUAUUGCGUUAGUGCUUAGGACAGGUGAAAUUGACGGAAAUGGACCCAAAUACUGGCCCAGGCGGACAGGAAAACCAGAUUUGGGCCCAAAUCUCCUUCCUCGUUGUGUUUGUUCACUCACUAUUAUCUGCUAUUAAUCUUAAGGUUUAAAAAUUCAAAUCCCCAGAAGACACCCAUUUUGAAUUAAUCACUUAACUAAAUCAUCCGUUUCUUACUCAACUUAAGAAUAAAUAAGUAAAUAAAUACGUAAGUUUAUGAAAUACUUCAUUUAAAUAUUAUGGCUACAUUUUUAUAUUUCUCCCUUAAAAUGAUCCUGACCAUAAAAUAGUUCAGUUUUGCAAUUCGAGUUAAGUUAAAAUUAUUUUAGCCAAAUAAUUAAUCGUCGGAUAACCGCAUUAGCGGAUAUUCUAGGUGCUUUAAAAACCUUCCUAGAAUAUUAAUAAGAACCUCGUAACUUUUUUUUAGUUUUCAUUAGAUUCCUGUUUUAGUCUUUUUGUAAAACAACAGUUUUUCUUGAUUUUUUCUUCAAAAAUUUAAGUUGGCGACUCUUAAACCAGUCUUAAAAUAUAUUUUCCUAAUAAAACAGGGAGUAACAUGUCCCAACAACUCAGGAUUUACUGAGGUAUCAAGAGCUAAAAAUGGCCAAUUAUAGACUAAGAAUCAAAUCAGGAUUGCUUUCAAAUCCAAAAUAUAAUGUGAAUAAUUGAAAAGAUAUAGAGAAAAGGAAAACUAGCUAGUAAAUGUUCUUCGCCGAAAAAUUACUUAUGUGAAUAUAUAGUGGAUGUUGAAUCAUGUUAGCUUCUUUGUGCCUUAAUAUUUUUGAAUCUCGUUAGUGAAAAUUCUAGUUAAUAUUUUUGGAUCUAAUGAUUAAAAAAAAAUCUGAAUUUUUUAAACCAAAAAUAAAAGAAAAUAGACAAGAACAAAUUAACAGGCACCAUAGGGUACUUGCUAUUUCCCCAUUCAUUCUUGAGUUGAUGAAGAUUAGAAUGCUCCACAAUACAUAACUUUAAAUUGCACAUCUCUUUCACCUGUCACCCUGCACCCAUUAACACAAAAUGAUCAUCAUUAGAUUUACAAUAAAACAACAACAACAAAUUCAGUAUAAUCAUAUAGGUGGAUUCGAAGUGUCACUGGUAAAAAAUGAUAUUUACUGACAAUUAAUAAACGAGAAUAAGUUAUCUUUUUAGAGGCAGUUGCUAGUAACAAUUACAUUUUGCAACUCUUUGCAAAUGUUGUCAAAGCCCAUAACGACAUUGGAUCCAAUAACAAAUAAGUAAUACUGGUAAAGAUUUCAACACUUUUUGCUAACGUACAUAUUUAUUGCCGUUAAAAAACUAUUUUUAUUAUAACAUAUGUACGUACAUGUUACCCUACCUUACCUUAUAGACAAAAACUUGCCUUAUCCAACUAUUCAGAAGAUAUUGAGGAAGAUACUAUUAUUUUUUUGUUGGUACCUCUUGGUAGCUUAUGGGAUGCAUCUAAUGCAAAUGGAAAAACACCAAAUGACUAUGGGGGCAUUAGGUUAUAUUUUUCUGGAGAAAUAGGUAAAUAUGGAGUUCGUUUAUUGUAUAAAGAUGAAGCUGAGCUUCACAUUGGGAUAAGGAAGAGCAGAUAUGAAGAAGAGGCCACUUGCUCCUCUUCUAAGAAACUCUUGCAGCUCUUUCCCACAAGCCCAGGAUUAUAGAUUAACUAUAGUUAGGUAUAUAACUCAUGAAAUUGUGUUCUCUGUUUAUAUAUAAAUUAUUUCUUCGUAUUCUUUUCCCUAUUGGCAAUGGUUCUAACAAAUUUUAUUCUGAUUUUGGACAAAGUGGGAAGAUGCUACUUUGGGGACACUGCCUAUGAAGGGAACACAUUUUCCAUUUUCUGACAAAUAGAUGACCCGAAAAAUAAAUUGCACAUGAAUGGCAAGAAAAUUUUCCAAAACAGGUAGAUAAAAGAAGCUUCGGGAUGGUAGGGGUUGAGGUAUUAACAACUUAGUUUUGAUUUAAUAUUUUUUGACGGAGAUUAAAGUGGGUAAUAACCAUUUUAUCCAAACCAUAUUUGACCAAAUCCAUAUUUACCCAUAUUUUAUAUGGGUGGAUUGUGAUCCAAUCCAUAUUCAAUCCAUCCAAAUCCGAUCCAUUCCACCCAUUUGUCACCCCUACUGAUAUUGAUCAUUUCUUUUUCUGGAACAGACUAAAAGAAAAGAGUGUUGUAUUAAAGAGUUCUCAAGAACAGAAAAAUGUCGUUGUAUUAACUUGUCUAUUACAUGAGAUAAAUGACAACAGAUCCACUUUGUAAACAUUGAAUGGUAGAUUUUUAAGCCCUUUGCUCAAAGACAAAAUGCACUAAUUCAUGAUUAGACAUGUUGUGAUCGUUUCGGAUUAGGAAUAUGCGAUUACCUGUUAUCUUAUUAACUAUGUUUUUAUUCUGGUUUUGCAUUACUUUUGCAGAGCAGACUGGUAACCGAGAAAAAUACCCGGUGAUUCUGCCUGUGACGGGAACAUGUUUCCUCUGUUUGUAACAGAACAACUCGACUCUUGGCCUGAGAGAGAUUCAUGAAAGAAAUUGGGUAUGCAAUAAUUUAUUCUAUUUGAAUUUUGUCGAAAUAUAAUCACAUAUUCUUCCGUUUGCAUUGAUAUUUUUAGAGAGUCCGAGCAACAUAGAAUUCCAGUACUUCUUUUAGUAGUACUCAAUGUUGGUUGGAAAUAACUAGUGCCAUAUAUAAAUACCUUCCCUGGAACAAUCAGCGGCGAAGCCUCAUAGACCAAAGGUUGGUCAGAUAAACAUCCUUCAAUUUAACCCAAAUAAUGCACAUCUCUAAACUUGAUAUUUAAGUGAGAAGAGUAGGAGACGGACUCAUUAUCCUUUAAUUUCCAAGGUUGCAACAAAUCUAUCGAUAAAAAAA
rnacentral:lncRNA from 1 species